rnacentral:lncRNA from 1 species
GUUUAAACUGGAUGCCAUUGCCUUAACCCUUUCUGCUCUUCUCUUUAUUUGAGGUCUGCCUGUGUGAAGAGGAGGUGCAGUGCACCUUGGCAGUGCAGGCUGUGGGUGUCUGACCAAUAGUGUUUUGGAGAGGAGGCAUGGCAAAGACUAAAAAUGCAGAGCAUCCAGGAUCAAAGCGUGUUUGCAAUGCGAAGAACUAUCCCCUGACAAUCAGACUGGAAGAGGAAGGGCAUUGUUUCUCUCUGCACAUGUUCAGAGGAGAGUCAAACCUGACAGCGACCGUGAAAAGCCUGGAGUUUUCAGCCUGCUAGGCAAGCGGUGGUGCCAUAGAGAUUCGGAUCGGGUCCCAGCUCUUCUAUUCUUGAAGCACCCCUGCCCCCUAUACUCUCAUCCUGCAGAGAAAUACUGCUGUACGCUGUGCCUCUUUCCAGCAAGAAAGGUUUCUUCAUCUACUCUAGGCUGCAUUUUAGCAUUUACCCCAAGGCCUAUUAUAAAUGGACAGAAAAUUAAAUUUUUCUUUUUCCUCUUAGGGAGAGAAAACCUAACUAAAUUUCCAACUUAUGACAGUGUAUGUUCCACGUUUUCAUUGUAUCAUGGUCAUGUGUAGCCCUUUGCUGAUAGACAGGGGAUCAAAGAUUUCUACCCUGUUGGAAGAAGCCACUGUUGAAGUGUGAAAGGCUACUCUGCUUUCUGCGUACAUUUAACCUUUGGCCUGCCCUAAAGAGCCAGCCAAGUGUCAAUCAGGGCUGAUUGGGCACCUGUGCCUGGAAACAGGCCAGAGAAAUUCACCUCUUCCAGGUCAUCAAACCAUCUCCAGAUGGCAAAGAACUUCUGAAGUUAUGAACUAACUUGCUUGUGAUGCGAAUUAGUGACCUAGGGUGAGAUGCUUCAUUAAUGCUUACUCUCCUGAGCCACCAAGGUGUCAAAAGUUGGACUGCUUACUCUCACAUUUAUUUUUUUGCUCUGUAAUGUGCAUUAAAAUAAUUUAUAUUCAUAGAGAUGGUUCAAUAAAUUGCAUAUGGCUAGUUAAUAAACUAGUAAAGCAGAGAAGAAAAUUAGAUUUCAUUUAGAAGAAAACAAUAUUUAGCUUUCCCCAUGGAAAUAUGUGAAAAAGCUUUAGAAAAUUCUGUUAACAUUGAGGCCUCAGAAGAGACU